rnacentral:tRNA from 1 species
ACCUGGGUGGCUCAGUUGGUUGAGCAUCUGACUGCGGGUCAGGUCAUGGUCUCAUGGUCUGUGGGUUCGAGUCCUGCGUCGGGUU